rnacentral:rRNA from 1 species
CAUAUGCUUGUCUCAAAGAUUAAGCCAUGCAUGUCUAAGUUCACACUGUCUCACGGUGAAACCGCGAAUGGCUCAUUAAAUCAGUCGAGGUUCCUUAGAUGACACGAUCCUACUUGGAUAACUGUGGCAAUUCUAGAGCUAAUACAUGCCUAUGAAGCUCCGACCCUCGUGGAAAGAGCGCUUUUAUUAGUUCAAAACCAAUCGCCGGUCGUCUUCGGGCGGCCGGUGUCCCCAUUGGUGACUCUGGAUAACUUUGUGCUGAUCGCAUGGCCUUCGCGCCGGCGACGCAUCUUUCAAAUGUCUGCCCUAUCAAAUGUCGAUGGUACGUGAUAUGCCUACCAUGUUUGUAACGGGUAACGGGGAAUCAGGGUUCGAUUCCGGAGAGGGAGCAUGAGAAACGGCUACCACAUCCAAGGAAGGCAGCAGGCGCGCAACUUACCCACUCCCGGCACGGGGAGGUAGUGACGAAAAAUAACAAUACGGGACUCUCUACGAGGCUCCGUAAUUGGAAUGAGUACACUUUAAACCCUUUAACGAGUAUCUAUUGGAGGGCAAGUCUGGUGCCAGCAGCCGCGGUAAUUCCAGCUCCAAUAGCGUAUAUUAAAGUUGUUGCAGUUAAAAAGCUCGUAGUUGGAUCUCAGGUGCAGGCGGACGGUCCGGCUCGCGCCGGUUCACUGUCCGUAUUUCCUGCCCUACUGGUCUGCCGGCUCUCUCCCGUGGGUGCUCUUCGCUGAGCGUCCCGGGUGGCCGGCGCGUUUACUUUGAAAAAAUUAGAGUGUUCAAAGCAGGCCUCGGCUGCCUGAAUAAUGGUGCAUGGAAUAAUGGAAUAGGACCUCGGUUCUAUUUUGUUGGUUUUCGGAACUGGAGGUAAUGAUUAAAAGGGACAAACGGGGGCAUUCGUAUUGCGGCGUUAGAGGUGAAAUUCUUGGAUCGCCGCAAGACGAGCUACUGCGAAAGCAUUUGUCAAGAAUGUUUUCAUUAAUCAAGAACGAAAGU